rnacentral:misc_RNA from 1 species
GUAAUCAUAUGCAUCGAAACUGACGAUGAUCAGAACACCACAUCACUGACCACGUCACGUCAAAAUUAAUGUAUGACAGAAAAGCUUGCAACAAUAUCUACAAACACCUCACUUUUAACAUUUCAGCGUUAAAGCCAUAUAAUAUAAGCCUUCAUUAAAUAAACCUCAACAAGCAUGCAGACAUUACAAAUAAAAAUGUUCUUUUACAAGAGAUGGGCUGUCAUUUAUGCUCAACAACCAGAAUAUCAAGGGGGGAAAGGGGGAUUAAAAAAGAAAAAGAAAAACUGCAUUGACAUUUUUUCUGAAAUAGACAGAAAUAAACAUUAAAAGGAAGCUUAUGCAUGAGCAAAUCAAUAUUAUAGUUUGCAAUAUCAAAAACUAAAAAUAUCAAGUAAAACUAGCUUAUUCAUGCAAAUAAAAUAAAUUAACAGAAAGAUAUGCUUGAAAAUUUGUUCAAGUUUGUGACGCCAUAUCAAUGAACUCAUAUAUAAAGAGUAAUUGCAUGUACCU